GUAAAGAAAGACUUUAAUUAUCACAAGGGAACUGCGGAAGGAGAAUGGGAGAUUUCUCAAAGCUGCCUCCCUGAGAAUUCAGAGGCUAGGGUUUUAAGGAUAAUUUGGUGGGAAGAAGGUUAAGGGAUGGGUGUUGCUAAUUUGGUCUGGGAUGAAACCAUAGGGGUGUCAGAGCUGUCUUCAUGUGCUAAAUCAGUUAUUGGGCCAUGGAGAAGUCAUAAUACAAGUCAAGUCAGUUCCUUAGUUACCCUCAUGGGCCACAGGUACAGUUGGCAUCAGUUGGUCCAGGCUGUUAGAGGCAAAGUCUGAAAAAUAUCUCAAAGACCAGUCUUAGGUUUCACAAUAGUGUUUGUGACUGCUGGUUACUAUGGAAAAGCAAGCUGGGAAACAAUGGUGGGUUAUUAUAUAACCAUGACUAUAGCUUAGUAGAAAAGUUUGCAUGAGGUGAAAUCCCUGGUGGUCAAAGCUGCUCAGCCUUCUCUCUGGUCAGUCCAACUUCUGGAAGCCAUAGGGAGGAUCUGCAUAAUCUAAGGAUCAUUAGUCUUUAAAGAAAAAACUUCAUUAAUCUUGUGGGCAGCCUGCCUGGGGUAAGACAAGGAGGACACAAUUGGAGACACAGGUUCUUCUAUCAAGGCCUUGACUGGAAUGGCAUAUUUUCAGAUAUGACCACAUUGCUUUGAGGAAAUGAGGCUGAUGUUGCAGAGCUGAUAAAACCCCCACAGAAAGGCCAGCCUACCUCUGGUGUUGGCCAGAUUGAGAAAUAAAGGGAAAGAGUACGAAAGAGAGAAAUUUUAAAGCUGGGUGUCCGGGGGAGACAUCAUAUGUCAGCAGGUUCCGUGAUGCCCCUCAAGCCACAAAACCAGCAAGUUUUUAUUAGUGAUUUUCAAAGGGGAGGGAGUGUAUGGGUCACAGAGAUCACAUGCUUCACAAGGCAAUAAAAUAUCACAAGGCAAAUGGGGGCAGAGCGAGAUCACAGGACCAGGGCAAAAUUAAAAUUGCUAAUGAAGUUUUGAGCACGCAUUGUCAUUGAUAACAUCUUACCAGGAGACAGGGUUUGAGAGCAGAAAACCGGUCUGACUAAAAUUUACUAGGCAGGAAUUUCCUCAUCCUAAUAGGCCUGGGAGUGCUACGGGAGACCGGGGCUUAUUUCAUCCCUUAUCUGCAACCGUCUAAGACAGACACUCCCAGAGUGGCCAUUUUAGAGACCUACCCCUGGGAAUGCAUUCUCUUUCUCAGGGCUGUUCCUUGCUGAGAAAAAGAAUUCAGCGAUAUUUCUCCUAUUUGCUUUUGUAAGAAGAGAAAUAUGGCUCUGUUCCACCCAGCUCUCAGGCCGUCAGACCUAAUGGUUAUCUCCCUUGUUCCCUGAACAUCACUGUUAUCCUGUUCUUUUUUCAAGGUGCCCAGAUUUCAUAUUGUUUAAACACACAUGCUUUACGAACAAUUUGUGCAGUUAACGCAAUCAUCACAGGGUCCUGAGGCGACAUACAUCCUCAGCUUACAAAAAUGACAGGAUUAAGAGAUAAAAGACAGGCAUAGGAAAUCAUAAGAGUAUUGAUUAGGGAAGUGAUAAAUGUCUAUGAAAUCUUCACAAUUUAUGUUCAGAUAUUGCAGUAAAGACAGGCAUAAGAAAUUAUAAAAGUAUUAAUUUGGGGAACUAAUAAAUGUCCAUGAAAUCUUCACAAUUUAUGUUCUUCUGCCAUGGCUUCAGCCUGUCCCUCCAUUCGGGGUCCCUGACUUCCCGCAACAGGUUAACCUGAUUCCGUACCCAAACCCCAUCACAUCAAGGGUAGCAAUACCUGAAUAUCUAAACUUCUAAAGCAGAGAAAUAAACCUGGAACAUGGUCACUCUACCAAGAAAUUGUUACCAGACCUGUGUGGCUGGACACCUGAUUCUCCCCUGGCAAAUCUUCUAUUUCAUUCGGUCAUCAUCAAUAUUUUUUUCAUUUUCAAUUUUUAACAGUAGGCAGAUAUCUAAGUUUAACUGUCUCAAAGGUUUGAUAUAUGACUUAGGGUUGUAUAUUAUUCAGUGUUUAUUUAAAAGAAUAGAAAAGUCCAAAGACAGGUUCACAAUAAGCAAAAAUACAUACAUACAUAAAUAAGCUUGGAGACUUUUAUAAGAUUAAAAUGAAGUUCUUACAAAUACUUAAAUCAAAAUGCAGCAGGAGUUAUGACAGCAAAAUCUUCAGUCUUAUUUUUAGAGACAGGGUCUCGCUAUGUUGCCCAGACUGGACUUGAACUUCUGGGCUCAUGUGAUCCUCCCACCUCAGCCUCUUGAGUAGCUGGAAUUAUGGAUGCACACCACCAUGCCCAUCUGAAAAUCUGCAGUAUUGACACUGCACUCUAUAAUGCCCUUCCUUAUUGUUCUCUUGACAGUAUCCCCACUGUAUAUUUGUGAAGAUGGCUGAAUGUAUUGAAGUAGAUACUGCUUUUAUAACGUCAAAGCCAUUAUAAUGUCAAAGCCAUAACCAUAAGGUUAUGGGACUGUUAACUGGUGGGUAUCACAACCCUGUUUAUGAGAAAAGCAUUCAGAACUGCAUAGGGGAAGGUGUAGUGAAAUAUUUAUUAUAGGAUAUAUCUUGGAGCUGGCAUAUUCCAAGAUAGGCCAUGGAAUAUGACUCUUUUUUUUGAGAUGGAGUCUUGCCCUGUCACCCAGGCUGGAAUGGAGUGGCAUGAUCUCGGCUCACUGCAACUUCCACCUCCCGGGUUCAAGCACUUUUCUGCCUCAGCCUACAGAGUAGCUGGGAUUACAGGCACCUGCCACCAUGCCUGGCUAAUUUUUGUAUUUUUAGUAGAGACAGGGUUCCACCAUCUUGGCCAGGCUGGUCUUGAACUCCUGACCUCGUGAUCCACCCGCCUCAGCCUCCCAAAGUGUUGGGAUUACAGGUGUGACCCACCACGCCUGGCCAGGAACGUGACUCUUAGUAGUGCUUGUGACCAAAACCUACAGAAGAGAAAAUGCAGUGUAAUAUAGAAGUAACCCUUAGAAUGACUAAUCCAGUUGGAUAAAACUCUUCUCUGUUUCUGUACCUACAAUGUGAGGGGAUGGGAGGUGGGAAAAGUUUGGAAAGUACCUUAUACUGGACCUUUUCUGUAGAACUCUCAAUUUUUGUACUAUUAUCAUUUGCUAAUUUGACAUGAAAUUUAAGCAACCAGCAAUGAGGAAAUACUUAGACUGUAACAGAGCUCUUCAGAGUUCUUUGUUUUGCAACAAUCACCUUUCAAAACUUCCCUAACAACUUGGACAGACAAACCCAGUCGAAUUUACAGAUGCUUGUGGAAAGGUUAGAGAAUUUGAAAGAAAUAAAAAAGAGUUGGGAGUGAAUAUGUGUGUCUUACUGCUUCGGUUUUGUUUCCUAGCAUUUAUUGGUUCAAAUAGAUUUGUUGCUUUGCUGACUCUCUGCUAUCUUCAUAAAAGAUAAGAAAACCUCUCAGCGUCCCUCUAUAGUGUGAGAAACAUGAUUUAUAAUAACAUUAUUUCAUAAUUGAAAGUAUUGUUUCGUUGUCUGGGAAAAUGAGCGCAUCAGAAUUAACUUGUAGUUUUAGAGGCCAGUGGGUUGCUAUAACAACCAGAAAAACAAUGGUGUAAUAACACCUCUCCCUGAAAGCUGGAGAACUCACUAAAUGACGAGAGCUACAGAUGCAAGCGUUUGUCAUAUGAAUUCAAACAAGAACCAAAUACAUUCAUUUAUUUCUUUCAUGAGCACUGACUCCAUGCCUGGCACUAUGCUAGGAACUGGUGAAAUAGACGUGGUCCCUCCUGUGAUGGAGUGAACAAUCUAAUGGAGAAGACCGAUAAUAAACAGUUUAAAAAAAAAGAUAAAUGGAAUAAUUUCAGCAUGUUUAAGGCCCUUUGGUAGAGAAAGCAUUGUUCUCUGAUACUGGACAAGCAGAGAAGGGUUGCUCCAGUAUGGGACAUGGAGAAGCACCUGGUCAUAUCAUAAAUCUUGCCUUUAAGGCUAUAUGAGCUCUAGUAAAGUGAAGGAAAAAAAGAAUGGAGUCUUACAGUCUUUAUUAGUAAAAAUAAUUUAAGGGAAGAAACUGCUAACUGAAGCAUGAUCAUUUUUUACUAGAAGGGUUUAACACGUAAAUUCCCAGAAUUCUUGAAUUAGGAGGAUUCAACAUUAAAAUAAGAGUUAUUUGUGUGUUUUAAAACAGUAUUGUUUUGGGCCAGGCGCGGUGGCUCACACCUAUAAUCCCAACACUUUGGGAGGCCGGGAGGCCAAGGCAAGUGGAUCACCUGAGGUCAAGAGUCCGAGACCAGCCUGGCCAACAUGGUGAAACCCCAUCUCUACUAAAAAUACAAAAAUUAGUCGAGCGUGGUGGCACAUGACUGUAGUCCCAGCUACUCGGGG
rnacentral:lncRNA from 1 species